GACGAACGCUGGCGGCGUGCUUAACACAUGCAAGUCGAACGGAAAGGCCUAGCUUGCUGGGUACUCGAGUGGCGAACGGGUGAGUAACACGUGGGUGAUCUGCCCCUGACUUUGGGAUAAGCCUGGGAAACUGGGUCUAAUACCGGAUAUUCAUUUUUCCUCGCAUGGGGAUUUGUGGAAAGCUUUUGCGGUUGGGGAUGGGCCCGCGGCCUAUCAGCUUGUUGGUGGGGUAAUGGCCUACCAAGGCGACGACGGGUAGCCGACCUGAGAGGGUGAUCGGCCACACUGGGACUGGAACACGGCCCAGACUCCUACGGGAGGCAGCAGUGGGGAAUAUUGCACAAUGGGCGCAAGCCUGAUGCAGCGACGCCGCGUGAGGGAUGACGGCCUUCGGGUUGUAAACCUCUUUCAGCUACGACGAAGCGCAAGUGACGUUAGGAGCAGAAGAAGCACCGGCCAACUACGUG
rnacentral:rRNA from 1 species